GUCGGUUUUCAGAACCAAAAACCUCUGCAGAAAAUCAUAGCGGAUACCAGGGUUGAGUUUGCGGCUGAAGUCAAUAAAUACUGCCGUGAUGGGAAGGAACAAGAUCGCCUCCUUAUUUUGACAACGAGUUGCUUAUACGUCAUUACUCAA